GGACAACCUGCCCUUAGGUUGGGUAUAAACCCGGGAAACUGGGUAUAAUACCCGAUAGGUCUCGAUUGCUGGAAUGCAUCGAGAUUUAAAGCUCCGGCGCCUAAGGAUGGGUCUGCGGCCUAUCAGGUAGUAGUGGGUGUAGCGUACCUACCAGCCUACGACGGGUACGGGUUGUGAGAGCAAGAGCCCGGAGAUGGAUUCUGAGACACGAAUCCAGGCCCUACGGGGUGCAGCAGGCGCGAAAACUUUACAAUGCUGGCAACAGCGAUAAGGGAACCUCGAGUGCCAGGUUACAAAUCUGGCUGUCGAGAUGCCUAAAAAGCAUUUCAUAGCAAGGGCCGGGCAAGACCGGUGCCAGCCGCCGCGGUAACACCGGCGGCUCGAGUGGUAACCGUUAUUAUUGGGUCUAAAGGGUCUGUAGCCGGCCGGAUAAGUCUCUUGAGAAAUCUGGCAGCUUAACUGUCAGGCUUUCAGGAGAUACUGUCUGGCUCGAGGCCGGGAGAGGUGAGAGGUACUUCAGGGGUAGGGGUGAAAUCUUGUAAUCCUUGAAGGACCACCAGUGGCGAAGGCGUCUCACCAGAACGGACCUGACGGCAAGGGACGAAAGCUAGGGGCACGAACCGGAUUAGAUACCCGGGUAGUCCUAGCCGUAAACGAUACUCGCUAGGUGUCGGCCACGGUGCGACCGUUGUCGGUGCCGUAGGGAAGCCGUGAAGCGAGCCACCUGGGAAGUACGGCCGCAAGGCUGAAACUUAA
rnacentral:rRNA from 1 species